GUCACAAGCAUACGGAAAUACUAUUUUGCGCUAAAAAAAAGUUUGUUUCAACAAUUAAUUUUGGGGAAACAUGCCUCCAGAUCUACAGAAAAAGGUUAACGCAAAUUUAUAGAUAAAGCAUCAGGUGUUUGAGUACAAGGGAUUGAUUGACUGCUUCAUGGAGUAUUAUAAACACUGAAGGAUUUGUAAGGAUUUAUCUGCUGAGCACGACUGUACAUAUUUGAAUAGCAGAGAUUCAGAUGAAUAAAGAGAUUAGUAACAAAGGACAGUGAAACUUUUCAUCACCAUAUAGUAAUCCACACUAAAGGUGAGAUUGACACACUCUUUGAUGCUAAGACAUACCUGAUAUACUUAGGGGGAACUGAUAUCACUUUUUGUCUAUUCAGGU